rnacentral:rRNA from 1 species
AUGAUUCCUGACUGACUGAGCGGCGGACGGGUGAGUAACGCGUGGGUAACCUGCCUUGUACAGGGGGAUAACAGUUGGAAACGGCUGCUAAUACCGCAUAAGCGCACAGCUUCGCAUGAAGCAGUGUGAAAAACUCCGGUGGUACAAGAUGGACCCACGUCUGAUUAGCUGGUUGGUGAGGUAACGGCCCACCAAGGCGACGAUCAGUAGCCGGCCUGAGAGGGCGGACGGCCACAUUGGGACUGAGACACGGCCCAGACUCC